rnacentral:tRNA from 1 species
UCUAAGCUGGUGUAGUGGUGCACACAGGUCUCGUGCUGGGGACUUGAAAUCCCUUUCAUGGAGGGCGUGGACUAGGUUCAAUUCCUGGGUUUAGAA